AUGCAGUCAGCGGUAACAUUUCUAGCUUGCAAAAAUGACGAGCGGGGACGGGUGAGUAAUGCUUGGGAACAUGCCUUUAGGUGGGGGACAACCAUUGGAAACGAUGGCAAAUACCGCAUAAUGUCUACGGACCAAAGGGGGCUUCGGCUCUCGCCUUUAGAUUGGCCCAAGUGGGAUAAGCUAGUUGGUAAGGUAACGGCUUACCAAGGCGACGAUCCCAAGCUGGUUAGAGAGGAUGAUCAGCCACACUGGAACAGAGACACGGUCCAGACUCCUACGGGAGGCAGCAGUGGGGAAUAUUGCACAAUGGGCGCAAGCCUGAUGCAGCCAUGCCGCGUGUGUGAAGAAGGCCUUCGGGUUGUAAAGCACUUUCAGUCAGGAGGAAAGGUUAGUAGUAAAUACCUGCUUC
rnacentral:rRNA from 1 species